rnacentral:rRNA from 1 species
GAUGAACGCUGGCGGCGUGCCUAAUACAUGCAAGUCGAGCGAAUGGAUUGAGAGCUUGCUCUUAUGAAGUUAGCGGCGGACGGGUGAGUAACACGUGGGUAACCUGCCCAUAAGACUGGGAUAACUCCGGGAAACCGGGGCUAAUACCGGAUAACAUUUUGAACCGCAUGGUUCGAGAUUGAAAGGCGGCUUCGGCUGUCACUUAUGGAUGGACCCGCGUCGCAUUAGCUAGUUGGGGAGGUAACGGCUCACCAAGGCAACGAUGCGUAGCCGACCUGAGAGGGUGAUCGGCCACACUGGGACUGAGACACGGCCCAGACUCCUACGGGAGGCAGCAGUAGGGAAUCUUCCGCAAUGGACGAAAGUCUGACGGAGCAACGCCGCGUGAGUGAUGAAGGCUUUCGGGUCGUAAAACUCUGUUGUUAGGGAAGAACAAGUGCUAGUUGAAUAAGCUGGCACCUUGACGGUACCUAACCAGAAAGCCACGGCUAACUACGUGCCAGCCGCCGCAGUAA